GAAGGCAUGAAGGUGAAGAAUAGUGGAACUGGAAAGUAAGAAUAGUUCUAGCAGGAAUUCACUUAUAAUAACCAUGAACAAGACUAUCAUCCAAAGGACUUCCGUCUUAGGAUGCACUGAUAAUGUACUCUAGACUGUCACCUCCUCUUGCUUACAGAAUAACCCAGAGUUUUCCAGGGACGGAUAAUCUUGCUUCACAAAGGCUGUUUAUCUAUUACACACACACAUUUAGGGAAAUAUAUGUAUAUAGCUUUAUCUAUACACACACAUAUACAUACGUGUAUAUAUAGAUUUAUACAAAUGUAUAAAUAAACAUAAUACUUUUCAAUCUUUCCAUUAACAAGGCAAGUUCACAUUCAGCAAAGUGCCACCACAUCCCAUAUACACAUCUCUGUACAGAUAUACACAAAAGGGUCUAUUUUUACCCUUCAAUCAGGGGGAAUUUAUUCUAGCAAAUCCCAUUAACCAGUAACUGAAGGGAGGAGUGGCACCGAAACCAACCCCCUUCUUUCAUUUGCAUGCAUAUGUACAAGAAAUAUGCAGAUUUUUUUUUUUUUAAUCCAUAAAGCAAGAGUGAAUGAAACUGGGAGAUGCAGAAAUACAACUAUAAAAGGAACGACAUGUAAAGCUCUCCUAGGUCUUGACUAUACCUAAGAUGAAUGAGGCUUCAAAGAGAACUACAAAUUCAGGUGUAGUAUCAGGAGUUGUUUUGACAUAUUUCAAAGUACAUGAUUUUUUUUUAAUAUUAAAUAUAAAUGUGAUUGGAGCACUUAAUAACAACUCUAGUUUGGGCUAUCUGAGACCAUCAGAUACUCCAGUAAUUAAUGUAUGGCAAAAUGACAAAACUCAAACUAUAGGAAUGUAUCUUUUUUAAAUUCCCUAUGAAUCAGGUAAAAGUCAAGGGUAGCAUAAUUUUUCCUGUAACCAAAAUACGGGGGCUGGGGGCACACUCACUUCAUAAGUAAGAGCACAAAUGAGUAAAAAAAAAAAAAAAAAAAAUUUUGAUUUUUGGAGAUAACUAAAAUCAUCCCAGCUUUGAAAUAUGCAUGGUGAAAUGAUCCCACCAACUCUUUCAACAAAGCAGUCCCUUCAAAAAAUGGCAUUCUUUAAAAAGAGCCUAUACUUUCCUUAACUUUACCAAGAAAAGAUGUUCAAGAUUUUCUAACUUAGAAUAUGAAGAGAUCUAUUAUUAACAUAAAGAAAGGUUCAACGGAUCUGGUCCCAUCACCCCAGUAGAUAAACACAGCUCACGUCUGGGUUUGCAUCUCUCUCUCUCUCUUUCUCUCUCUAAUUUUUAUGCUCAAAGGUGAGAGGCUGGUCUUAGAACCUGCUGUUUCUCACGUCAUUUUAAAAACAUAGCGUAAUAUAUAAGUUAAUCAAAAGUUAAAAGAAAAUGCACAUGAUAUCAGAGAUAGCCUUUUAACAUAAGAUAGCAUAAUGAAGAAUUUGGUGUAUUUAUACUACGGAGACAAUGAGAAAAUAACUCUGAUAGCCCCCUCUAAAUAGUCAUAUUUCUACAAUACAUUCUGUUACCUUCCUCUAUUUUCAUCUAAGCACACAUUCACCUCUCCCACACACGUGCCCCCCCAAUGUAUAUUUUUGCAUGUGUGUAAAAACACAGACAGAGACAUGCACACGAGUAAUUUAAUUCUAUUUUUAAGUCACAGUGGGAAUUCCUUAGUGAGGAGGGAUAAAAAGUUCCUGAAUAAGACACUGAGAACAUCUAGACUUAUUAUUUUCUCUAUUUUACUUCCCAACUUACAGAAUAAACUGUAAAUUAAAGAAUAAAUCCAUAGGAAAUAAAGGAGGUCUUAAAAACUUAAGUUUACAAAUUCCAGCUACAGUAGUUGGGAGCUUUGCUUGAUCUAUGUAUUUCUAUUUACCCUGUAACUAAGCUUCUAGCCAUCUGAAGUGUAAACCACAGAUCAGUUACUAAAGAAACACGACGCCCAACAGUUCUAUGAGCAGUAAUAAAUGGUCUAAAGGUGUUCUACGUUUUGAGGCCCCAGGAUAUCCUUUUAUUUUAUAUAUCUGCAAGGUAGCAAAGGAUAGCUAUACACCUUGACACGGCAGAGAUCCAGUGUAAAAAGGUGCUUCACUAGUUUGUUUUGUCAAAAAAAAAAAAAAAAAAAAGCUCAUAUAUAAUUUUUUAAGCUAUUAAAACACAUAGGCAACAUAAUUCAUUACACUCAAUACAGCUUUAGUAUAAAACUUAUAAUUUAUGAGGUGAUGUUAAUAGUAUAAAUUAAUAUACCUUUUCUCUUAAAAUCUACAAUAAGUAUUCUGAAAGCUCAUCGGGGAAGGAAAUUUUUAAAUAAAACUUUUAAAGCUGUGCGUGGUGGGAAAGGACUGUUUGCUGAAGCGGAGGAGAGCCUGAAGGAGAAAAGGAAGAGUCCUACGCAAGACACGGCGGGCUAUGAAACCAAAUGUUUUCUUUCUUGCGCUCUCUUCAAUGGUGAGUCACCUUUAGUUUCUUUUAAAACUAUUUUCUUAUUUUAAAAACUGCCCUAAUUUCCACAAGGAAUCCCUGAGACAUACUCAACACUGUACAGCGAAAAGAACGAUCACUGUGCCGAGGAACUGAUUCCAACCCUUCUGAGCAGAUGAAGACAAUGUUCCAAGCACCAGAUUUCCUGUCACUUCCACGCUAAUCUGCUGGAGCCCACUGGGCCCGAACCAGGCAGGGUGGAGUCCUUUCAGGGCAAAUCAGUCUAGUCCCCGAGCAAAAGCAAUGGUGUGGCGUCUAGCUGCACUGGAACCUUCAGCACUGCAUACUGACAUUUUUUCCAAGGGGAACUUUGGGUGCAUCUAGAGCUUACUUCAGUGGUCCCCAGCUUAAACACACAAGUAAGAACAAACGAAAAGUCAAGAGGCAGCUUCUAGUACUCUCAGGCCACGAUCAGGACAGAUCAGGCUGUACGUGUGCAUACUUGAGAACUGGGGGCAGGCGGAGGCAGGCAGGCAGGAGGGAAGAGGGGAGGAAAGCUGGGCUGCCCUACAGAGCUUACCAAGAGUUAGAAAGCUUUUCUCUUGCAACAUUCUUUUUCAGACUCAACUUUAGAUCACCAAAAAACUCCGCCACUCAAAGUAGUCAGACAUUCCCAAGACUUGGGAACCUAGUUUAUGGUCAAGAAAGUCACACCAAAUUUGCUCUCUCUCCGAAAUGCCACGUGUCCUUUAUUGGCUCUGUUGAUCACAGUGCAGAGAGGGGAAAGCUGACAGAAAUCAGAGGUGAAGGGAACGAGAAUUUUUGCUAUUGAGAAAUGAGGCUAAGUCGGCCCCGCAAUUUUUGCAUUAAUGACACUGGCUACUAGGAGACAGAAUUAUUCACUUGUGUUUUAGGUUUUCUUUCCUAACUCACUAGUCAGGGGGAAAUGCUUAACAGAUACCCAAAUAUGUUCUUCACUGGUAUUUUAUGUCAAAUUUUUUGAAAGAUAGCAUUUAAAAUGUUACUUUAAUCUACUAAACAUGGAUUCUUGUUCCCUCCAGGGUAUGAUAUUGGAACACUUAUAAGGCUCAAGAUAUUAAGAAGUCAUUAAACUGUUUUACCUUUCUAUAGAAUGCCAGUGAAGAUUCCGUAUUUUCAAUGUAUUGCGAGAGGGGGAAAAAAAUCGAUGUUCUAUCACAUGUAUACUUCUACCUCCCACCUCACCAAGAAAUGUAUUUCUCAUCGGGAAAAAAAAUGCUUGGAGUGAUGUAGGUGUUAGUGAUGGUUUAAAAGAUACAGAUGAAGACUGUUCAGUAUGACUACAUUUUCUUUUAAGGAAUCCUUUAAACUGCCUCAUUCAACUGCAGAGUUCUGCUGACCAUUUAGAAGACCACUGGAUCAGAUUAUUCCACAUAAAACAGAUUAAAAACACAACUUAGUAGAAUGUUAAAAGGCUAAAAAGAAAGAGGUUGAAGAACCUGAAAACUAGCUACCUAAAAAAAAAUUUUUCAAAUGCAGUCGAAACUGAUUAAAUAAUUAGUUUAGUGUUAUCAAUAUCUUCAUCUUUUUGCAAUACCAGUCCACAACAACCUACUGAACUAACUCGGAGAAAAGGCGACCGCCUCAAACACUGCUGAUGCAGCCCCAGAACCCCUCGCAAGGGGGCAGGAAGGACGACAAACGUAAGGGCGCAAGUUACAACGAACUGAAUGGAAGGGGGUGUGCUUGGUUGGCUCAGUCGGUAGAAUAUGCGACUUGUGUUCUCAGGGUUGUGAGUUCGAGCCCCAUGUUGGGUGUGGAGCCUACUUAAAACACAAAAAACUGAAUGGUAUAUUGGUCAACAGAAACAGAAAUUCUUUCACCUAAGAAGAAAGGUUACAGAUCGGGCACGUAUCACAGACACCGUUUCCUUCCAAAUCAAAGCACUCUCUUUGCCUCUGGGUUGCGAUGGUGGCCUGAGAACGAGCUCUGAUAAGGAAUAGCUUUUAGUGUUAGUCACAGAAAGUGAGGAGGCUUAGCUCGCAGUUGAGACAUUGGGCUUAUCGAAGAAAUAAAUGGGCUUAUUGAAGAAAUAAAUCUUAUAAAUAAUUAUUUGGCAAAGAUAAAGGAUUAGCUUUCUUUAGCCUGACACCACUCAAGACAGUAACUACAAUCUUAAGGAAAAGAAAACAAAGAAACACAUCUUCCAACUUUAUCUCCAUACCUA
rnacentral:lncRNA from 1 species